rnacentral:rRNA from 1 species
AGAGUUUGAUCCUGGCUCAGGAUGAACGCUAGCUACAGGCUUAACACAUGCAAGUCGAGGGGCAGCAUGAACUUAGCUUGCUAAGUUUGAUGGCGACCGGCGCACGGGUGAGUAACACGUAUCCAACCUGCCGAUGACUCGGGGAUAGCCUUUCGAAAGAAAGAUUAAUACCCGAUGGCAUAGUUCUUCCGCAUGGUAGAACUAUUAAAGAAUUUCGGUCAUCGAUGGGGAUGCGUUCCAUUAGGUUGUUGGCGGGGUAACGGCCCACCAAGCCUUCGAUGGAUAGGGGUUCUGAGAGGAAGGUCCCCCACAUUGGAACUGAGACACGGUCCAAACUCCUACGGGAGGCAGCAGUGAGGAAUAUUGGUCAAUGGACGAGAGUCUGAACCAGCCAAGUAGCGUGAAGGAUGACUGCCCUAUGGGUUGUAAACUUCUUUUAUAAAGGAAUAAAGUCGGGUAUGCAUACCCGUUUGCAUGUACUUUAUGAAUAAGGAUCGGCUAACUCCGUGCCAGCAGCCGCGGUAAUACGGAGGAUCCGAGCGUUAUCCGGAUUUAUUGGGUUUAAAGGGAGCGUAGAUGGAUGUUUAAGUCAGUUGUGAAAGUUUGCGGCUCAACCGUAAAAUUGCAGUUGAUACUGGAUAUCUUGAGUGCAGUUGAGGCAGGCGGAAUUCGUGGUGUAGCGGUGAAAUGCUUAGAUAUCACGAAGAACUCCGAUUGCGAAGGCAGCCUGCUAAGCUGCAACUGACAUUGAGGCUCGAAAGUGUGGGUAUCAAACAGGAUUAGAUACCCUGGUAGUCCACACGGUAAACGAUGAAUACUCGCUGUUUGCGAUAUACAGCAAGCGGCCAAGCGAAAGCGUUAAGUAUUCCACCUGGGGAGUACGCCGGCAACGGUGAAACUCAAAGGAAUUGACGGGGGCCCGCACAAGCGGAGGAACAUGUGGUUUAA